rnacentral:lncRNA from 1 species
UCCCGCCAAUAUUGCACUCGUCCCGGCCUCCCUGACCACGAGGAACACGCGACUCCCUGCUGUAAUCUCCCGCCACAACAACCGCCGAACAUAUCGACCGCGAGGGCGGCGCCACACAGCAGGUGUUUGAGGUGUUUGAUCCACAACACUUCUCCACGAUGGAUUGACAGACGCUGGUCAGUCUGGUUGUUUGGCCCGCACACAGACGGACUCCACACUGGUUUUAGGAAAUGUAGAGAGACGGAGGGCGACUGGAGUUCUUCACACCUUUAUGUGCAUCAGAACCUGCUUACGGUGUGAACUGAAGUCCUCUGGAACGGUAUCUGGAAAACAUUUGGUUUGUCAGUGUGUUGUUUUAUGCUCGUAGUGCUGUUCUUUUGUCAAUAAACAACUGAAUAUGA